UACGUAGGGACCAAGCGUUGUUCGGAUUUACUGGGCGUAAAGGGCGCGCAGGCGGCCCUUGAAGUCAGGCGUGAAAGCCCCGGGCUCAACCUGGGAGGUGCGCUUGAUACUCGAGGGCUUGAGUGCGGGAGAGGAGAGUGGAAUUCCUAGUGUAGCGGUGAAAUGCGUAGAUAUUAGGAGGAACACCAGUUGCGAAGGCGGCUCUCUGGACUGUAACUGACACUGAGGCACGAAAGCGUGGGGAGCAAACAGG
rnacentral:rRNA from 1 species